CAGCAGCCGCGGUAAGACAGAGGGGUGCAAGCGUUAUUCGGAUUGAUUGGGUGUAAAGGGUGUGCAGACGGCUUAUUAAGUCACUUGUUAAAUUCUUCGGCCUAACUGAAGGUCUGCAAGUGAUACUGAUGAGCUAGAGGGUGGAAGAGAGAAGUGGAAUUCUCGGAGUAGCGGUAAAAUGCGUAGAUCUCGAGAGGAACACCAAUGGCGAAGGCAGCUUCUUGGUCCAUUCCUGACGUUCAUACACGAAAGCGCGGGGAGCAAAUGGGAUUAGAUACCCCCGUAGUCCCUGUCUCUUAUA
rnacentral:rRNA from 1 species